rnacentral:rRNA from 1 species
AGAGGUUGAUCAUGGCUCAGAUUGAACGCUGGCGGCAUGCCUUACACAUGCAAGUCGAACGGCCACGGAGCAAUCCGUGGCGAGUGGCGAACGGGUGGGUAAUACAUCGGAACGUGCCCAGUAGUGGGGGAUAGCUCGGCGAAAGCCGGAUUAAUACCGCAUACGACCUACGGGUGAAAGCGGCAACGCGCUAUUGGAGCGGCCGAUGUCAGAUUAGCUAGUUGGUAGGGUAAAAGCCUACCAAGGCGACGAUCUGUAGCUGGUCUGAGAGGACGACCAGCCACACUGGGACUGAGACACGGCCCAGACUCCUACGGGAGGCAGCAGUGGGGAAUUUUGGACAAUGGGGGCAACCCUGAUCCAGCCAUGCCGCGUGCGGGAAGAAGGCCUUCGGGUUGUAAACCGCUUUUGUCAGGGAAGAUAAUGACGGUACCUGAAGAAUAAGCACCGGCUAACUACGUGCCAGCAGCCGCGGUAAUACGUAGGGUGCAAGCGUUAAUCGGAAUUACUGGGCGUAAAGCGUGCGCAGGUGGCUUUGCAAGACAGAUGUGAAAUCCCCGGGCUUAACCUGGGAACUGCAUUUGUGACUGCAUGGCUAGAGUGCGGCAGAGGGGGAUGGAAUUCCGCGUGUAGCAGUGAAAUGCGUAGAUAUGCGGAGGAGCACCGAUGGCGAAGGCAAUCCCCUGGGCCUGCACUGACACUCAUGCACGAAAGCGUGGGGAGCAAACAGGAUUAGAUACCCUGNUAGUCCACGCCCUAAACGAUGUCAACUGGUUGUUGGACGGCUUGUGUUCAGUAACGAAGCUAACGCGUGAAGUUGACCGCCUGGGGAGUACGGCCGCAAGGUUGAA